UUCGCAAUGCCCGAAAGGGUGACGAAGCGACGCCGCGUGUGGGAAGAAGGCCUUCGGGUUGUAAACCACUGUCGGGAGUUAAGAAAUGUAAGGGUGUUAAUAGCGUCCUUACUUGACUAAGGCUCCGGAGGAAGCCACGGCUAACUCUGUGCCAGCAGCCGCGGUAAUACAGAGGCGGCAAGCGUUGUUCGGAAUUAUUGGGCGUAAAGAGCACGUAGGCGGCCUUGAAAGUCAGUUGUGAAAGCCUUCUGCUUAACGGAAGAACAGCAUCUGAUACUACAGGGCUUGAGUGCGGGAGGGGAGAGUGGAACUUCUGGUGGAGCGGUGAAAUGCGUAGAUAUCAGAAGGAACGCCGGCGGCGAAAGCGGCUCUCUGGCCCGUAACUGACGCCGAAUGUGCGAAAGCUAGGGGAUCAAACGGGAUUAGAUACCCCGGUAGUCCUAGCCGUAAACGAUGGGCACUAAGUAGAGGGGUUUU
rnacentral:rRNA from 1 species